rnacentral:rRNA from 1 species
CCGGCGCACGGGUGAGUAACGCGUAUGCAACUUACCUAUCAGGAGGGGGAUAACCCGGCGAAAGUCGGACUAAUACCGCAUGAAGCAGGGGCCCCGCAUGGGGAUAUUUGCUAAAGAUUCAUCGCUGAUAGAUAGGCAUGCGUUCCAUUAGGCAGUUGGCGGGGUAACGGCCCACCAAACCGACGAUGGAUAGGGGUUCUGAGAGGAAGGUCCCCCACAUUGGUACUGAGACACGGACCAAACUCCUACGGAAGGCAGCAG